UACGUAGGGUGCAAGCGUUAAUCGGAAUUACUGGGCGUAAAGCGUGCGCAGGCGGUUUUGUAAGUCUGACGUGAAAUCCCCGGGCUCAACCUGGGAAUUGCGUUGGAGACUGCAAGGCUGGAGUCUGGCAGAGGGGGGUAGAAUUCCACGUGUAGCAGUGAAAUGCGUAGAGAUGUGGAGGAACACCGAUGGCGAAGGCAGCUCCCUGGGUCAAGACUGAC
rnacentral:rRNA from 1 species